UAAAGCAGGACUCUACGAAUUCUACUUUGGUUUCAUUUUCAUUCAGUUCAGAAUCCUUUCUAAUGUUUUUCUCUUUUCAUUACUUCUUUGACCCAGGGGAUAUUUUGAUGUGUUCUGUAGUUCGCAGAUAGUUGAGUAUUUUCCAGAGAUGGUUUUGUUCUUCAUUUCUGAUUUGAUUGCUUUGUGGUCAGGGGACACACUUUUAUGACUUCAGGCCUCUUGACUUCUUCCUUUUAUUAAGAUUUAUUUUUUGACCCAGAUUAUAGUCUUUUUUGGUAAGCGUUCCAUGGAUCCUUGGGAAGAAUAGUGGUGGUCAAGUCUACUGUGUCCUUGCUGAUGUUGUGCCUACUGAAAUAUCAGACUAUAAUUGUGAAUUUGCCUAUUUCUCUCUUCAGUUCUAUCAAUUUUUGCUUCAGGUACUUUGAAGCUAUUAACAGAUCCAUGAACAUUUAAGAUUGCUAUUAAUUGACCCUUUUAUGAUUAUACAAUGACCUGUUGUUUAUUGCUGGUAAUAAUUUUUUGCUUUGAAACUGUGUUGUCUGGUAUUCAUACAGCCACUCUAGCUCAGCCUUCUUUGGUCAAGUGUUAGUGUGCUAUAUCAUAUUUCUGUCUUUUGAACAAAUUUCUGUCUUGACAUUUAAAGUGCAUUUUGUAUAGGUAGCGUAUAGCUGAGUCUUCCUUUUUUCUCCAUUCUGACACUCUGCGUCUUAGUUGAGGCUUUUAGACCGUUUUCCUUUACUGUGAUUAUUGAUAUAGUUGAUUUGAAUCUGUCAUCAUGCUGUUUGAUUUGCAUUUGUCCUAUGUGCUCCUUGUUCCUUUUCUCUUCUUUUUCCGGUUUCUUUUAAUCGAGUCAUUUUUAUGAUUCAGUUUUAUCUAUUUCUUAUUUAUUUGUUUAUUCACUUAUUCACUUAUUCCCUUAUUUACUUAGGCUUCCUAGCUAGAACUUUUCAGUUUUGCUAUUGUGGUGGUUGGUUUAGGUUUUAUAGUCUGUGGGUUAAACAUCACAGUCUAGCUUCCAUUAAUGUUAUACCACAUCGUAUAUAGUUUAGGAAAAUUACAAUAGUUUACUUCCAUUUCUUCUUUCCUAGACAGAUCCUACCUGGGUCGGUGGGAUUAUAGUUUUCAUGAAGUUUAGGAAGAUUUGGGCCAUUUUUUUUUUCCUGUCCCUUUCCCCUGCCUCUCUGGGCAAUUGUGUAUUUCCCCCUUGAAGUUUUCUCCCGGGUUUCCAGUGUUAAACUUCAGUCUUGUGUUUUGUGAUGUCUAAUGUGUUUAUUCCUGUCCAUCGUAUUGUUCAUGUCUAACAUAAUUUACAUCUCUGUAAGUGCUAUUUGGUUUUUAAAACAAUAGCUUCUAUGCCUCUAGUUAUCUUUUCAUGCUUUGUUUGGAGAUACAGUUAAGUUACUUACAAACAGUUGGAUCCUUUAGUCUUACUCUUAGGAAUUAUUGGAUGAAUCCAGAGUGGUGAUCAGCCUAAGGCAAAUCAUGAGUUUUUCUAUCCUAGCUAAUGUGAAUAGAUACUGUCCCUCGUGCUGUGGGAGCACCAGGCAGUGUUUCCUCUAUCUUUUCAGAUUUUUUUCCCUUGAUGACUUCCUUCCCUGUAUGCACUGGUUGUUACUCUGCUGAAUAGCCAAAGGGGACCCUCUGCAGAUGUCCAGGGUUCUUUCUGUGUUCUUUCUCCUAUCCUGGAUGCUGACCUGUCAUCUCUAUGUGCCUUGAAUUCACCAGACUCUCAGUUUUGUCACCUCGACUCAAGGAGUCUGGUGGAGUCUAUUUAAAUCAUUUAUGUCUCCUGGGUCGUAGCCUGAAAACUCUCUCAAGGCAGUGAGCUUGGGCAUGUGUUAGGCUAACGUGUUUUGUUUUCAGGGAUCAUUGUCCUUCAUUGUCUGAAGUUCUGUGUCUUGAAAAUCAUGUUAAAAUUCUAAUUUGUUUUGUUUUUGCCUGCUUCAGGUAGGAAGAUCAAUCAGUACAUGUUACUCCAUGUCAGCCAGAAGCAGGUUACAGUGGAACUUCGGCACAUGCUCUAGACUGUCGAGGGUGCUUGUCUUCCUCCUUUGCUUAAUUGCCUCCUGCUCAUCCUUCAUUCCUCAGUAGAGUUAUCUCUUCCUCAGGGAAAUCUUUCUUUCUUGGGCCCAAUCUGGAUCAAGUUAUGAUCACAGAACUCUGUUUUCUAAUAGGAACUAUCUGAAUUUAGACUUAUCAUUUGAGUUGUCUUUCUCCUUCACCAGACUUUAAGCUAAUCGAGAACCAGGGGUCUUCUCAAGUGUAUCUGUAGAGCUGAGUAUAAUGUCUUACAUUGAAGAUUCUGGUGACUUCUUAAAAAUCCAGGAUAUACUUGUUUCCUAUGAAAGAUUAAGGAAACGUACAAAAAUCACUGUAAACUACUUAUGGGAAAAAUUAAAAAAAUGGAAAAAAACGGUUAGUGCACUACAAAACGAGCUAUGAGAAGCCAACGGCGUGAUAUCAUGAUUUACUUUAAAACAAGAGGAAGGAACAAGAAAUGCUGAUAUGUUACAUGAAAAAAUUAGGGAGAAGUUAAGAAGAACAGAAGACCAAUAUAAGAAAGAAGUUGAAACAAAACAAGAAUUUGAACUCGCUCUUAGAACACUAAACAUGGAAUUGAAGGCCACAAAAGGUCAUUUGAAUCAGAUAGUUGUGAGACAACUUCAACAAGAACUGGCUGAUACUCUGAAGAAACAGUCUAUGUCACACGCUUCCCCGGAGGUUAUGUCACAUCUUCGUCUGGAAGAUGAGACACGGGAUCUCAAGAAGAAAUUAGGUCGAAUCAGAAGUCAAGCUAGAAGUUCAAAAUGCCAGACAGGAAAAAACCAUCAAACAGCAAGUGUCCCAAAUUCAAGACCUUCAGAGCAACUUGUUAAAGACAAGUUUGCUGCUACCGAAUUUGAAUGAGGAUCCUGUAGAACUCCUUUAAGUAUCUACUGAUGAUUCAAUUCUAAAUCAAGAUCCAGUAUGGAAAGCGUCACGAGAAUGUGUACAGAUUUUGAACAAAAAUUAUAUGAUUUGAAAAAUAAAUAGAAAAAAUUUACUGGA